GAGUAAAUAAUUUUUUUUUUUCUUUUUUCAUUUUCUUCCUUCUUUCUUUCGCGAUCCUCUCUCUUUUCUCUCUCAAUCCGAAAGGCGAAUCAAUCGAUUCACCGCCAUCGCAGUUCCUCGAUCUCCGCCCAACUCCGUUCUUUUCUAUCUCUAUUCAAUCUCUUUUCUAUCUCUUUUCGAUCAUCGCAGUUCCUCGAUCACAGCCUUCUUUCCUCGUUGAGCAAGAUAAGUGAUUUAAUUCAAUCUCUGUUUUUUUUUUCUUCUUCUUCUUCUUCUUCGUUUUGUAGUUGACUUGUUUUCUUUUUUGUUCUAUCUCUGUUCUACUGAUUUGGAUCUUAAAGUCUUAAUUUUUAAUCGCAAAUCUCCCUUUGAUUUUCAAAUAUGAGUUGCUACCUACCCACCAAUGCAAAUUAAGCUCUUUUUUUUUAGCUCAAACUACUGCAAUUGUGUACUGGAUUCUAUAAAAAGUCUUAUGCUUAUAAUUUGAAAACAUUUAUCUAAAUCUAUGAACCUUGUUUGUCUGGACUCGAUUGGGUAAUGGAUUGUUAGUGUCCUUAUUAGAGCCGUAGGUAACAUUACUGAUUUUGAAAGGUAUUUGCAACAGGGCAGUCUCGUAGCUGCCAUUCCUCUUUUGUCGUUGAAACAUUCUUCUGAACUUGAUGUAUGCUUUUGGUUGUUUUCAGGUGAAGUCCAACUCGCCACAAGCACUUUCUUCUGCAGUUAAGUGACAUUGGAUCAGUUGUAAGUAGCUGGUUCUUGAUCAGGAGCUAAAUUCACAAAAGAUGAAAGCUUUGCAGAUAGAAUGUGAGAAAGGAAACAAGAAUGAUUUGGCAGAAUAGUGAACAAUCUUUGCUGGUUUGGCACAUUUUAGAUCUAUAAGAUGAUAUAGCUGUUGUGAGAUUUUUUUUCCUGUCUUCAUUGCUAUGCUUGUAGUUAGACAGAACCAUUUCAUUAGAAAAGCUUGGGCUUUUUGUUUACUUAAUUCUUCUAUUCUGACGUUCUGGUAGCCUAUAACUUACUGUCCAUGAUUUGGUUAUACUUGGGGUAAGUUUCAGUUUGGUUUUCUUUUUGGUAGCGAACUGCUCUGUGGUUGAUGAGAAGAUGAUAAAGUGUUUGAUCUUUCUUUCUUUCUCUUAUUUGUUUAUCUAACUUGAGGUGUCUCAUAAACUAUCCAAGAGAAAAGCUGAUGACAACCUGAUGUUACUUCACACCAUGCUUUAAAAAUACUAUAAACGAUGGCGUGUUUGGUGAUAUUGCCCUUCGGUGAAGCAAAUUAAGAUGUUACUAUGAUCUAAGAGAAUCUACAAGUCUCGGCGAGAUGUAGGUGGUGUCACAUUGACACUACUGAACUUGUUAAAUGUGUGUGCUCCCAUCUUCUUCUCUACUCUUUUUUCUGAUCUCUCUAUGCUCCGUUUUUUUGCUGCAACUAAUAAAAAGCUUCUCUGUUUUGACUUAGCAAUUUAUAUCUUGGUGUGUUGGUGUUCAAAAAAUUACUAUUUUAAUGAUUAAUGUGAUAGGGGUUCUAAAUGGA